rnacentral:lncRNA from 10 species
AUAUUGAAAUCACAGUCUAUUAAAAAUUGGGAAAUUUAAUUCAAAUAAAAAUCCAACAAAUAUUUUGUUUGAUUUUUAUUUGAAUUAAAUUUCCAAUUUUAAUAGACUGUGAUUUCAAUAUUAUCUAAAUAUAAAAUAAGAUAUUUUUAAGGAAUGGAGAUCUAAAGCAACCUUCCAUAAAAUUAUCAACAGACAAGGAAAAAAAAACCUUCUAAAUAAUUAAAGACAACAUCCUCCCUCUCGUUCAUGGAUUGAGGGCAUUCUUUAAACUUUCACAAACUUUCCUCCCACUAUUCUUACACCUGCCUUAAACUAGUUCAGUUCCAGGCCAGGGAUUUUAGCCACAUUUUCUGUUUAAUGGGAGGACAUUUGCAAAUGCAGUAACAUCAAUAUAUAUCCAGAUUUGCUGUAAUCUAUACCAUCAUUUCACUGAUAACCUGAAUCCACUUUAUUUUCCCCAUUUUCUCUGAGUCCCAAUGUUCAUAUUUUUAUAGAACUAGAACCAAAUAGACAUGAACAUAUUUGUCAAGGACUUGCUGUCUUAACCUCAAAUGUCUUUCACUGAUGACUACCAUGAUUAUGCUUGAAGAGCCAGGGCCUGUGCAAGUGUGUGCGUGUGUGCAUGUGUGCGCGUGUGUGCAUGUGUGCAUGUGUUUACGUGUGCGUAUGUGUGUGUGCAUGUGUGCGUGUGUGCACGCGCGUGUGUGCAUGUGUGUGUGUGUGCGUGUGUGACUGUGUGUGUGCUUGGUGGGGGGAAUCAUGCGUACAUCUUUGUAUGUAUGCAGGGGCUGAAUAUUCAUGGCCACAUUCUGCUUGAGUGAAUGCGCAAAUCUGUCUUUGUUUGAAUGAAAUGAGAAUUCACCUUUUGGACAUUUAACCAGUCAUAGCCCAUUUAUUUUUUGCCUCAAAG